rnacentral:rRNA from 1 species
AUUGAACGCUGGCGGCAUGCCUUACACAUGCAAGUCGAACGGCAGCACGGGAGCAAUCCUGGUGGCGAGUGGCGAACGGGUGAGUAAUAUAUCGGAACGUGCCCAGUCGUGGGGAUAACGUAGCGAAAGCUACGCUAAUACCGCAUACGAUCUAUGGAUGAAAGCGGGGGAUCGCAAGACCUCGCGCGAUUGGAGCGGCCGAUAUCAGAUUAGGUAGUUGGUGAGGUAAAGGCUCACCAAGCCGACGAUCUGUAGCUGGUCUGAGAGGACGACCAGCCACACUGGACUGAGACACGGCCCAGACUCCUACGGGAGGCAGCAGUGGGGAAUUUUUGGACAAUGGGCGCAAGCCUGAUCCAGCAAUGCCGCGUGCAGGAUGAAGGCCUUC